UCCUUGGUGUCUCAGAGGAUAAAGAAUCUGCCUGCAAUGCAGGAGACCAGGUUCGAUCCCUGGAUCAGGAA
rnacentral:tRNA from 1 species